rnacentral:rRNA from 1 species
AACGUAGGAGACAAACGUUAUCCGGAGUUACUGGGCGUAAAGGGCGCGUAGGUGGCCUGUUAAGUCGAACGUGAAAUCCCCGGGCUCAACCCGGGAACUGCGUCCGAGACUGGCAGGCUCGAAUCCGGGAGAGGGAUGCGGAAUUCCAGGUGUAGCGGUGAAAUGCGUAGAUAUCUGGAGGAACACCGGUGGCGAAGGCGGCAUCCUGGACCGGCAUUGACGCUGAGGCGCGAAAGCCAGGGGAGCAAACGGG